GAUCCGGUGGACAAACGGCUAAGUCACCACGCUUCAUGCGAGGGGUGCCCCCUCGCGCUCCCCAGCUGAGGGCUCUUUCAACGUGGGGAAUGCGGGUUCGAAUCCCGUCCGGAUCACCA
rnacentral:tRNA from 1 species